CUUUGGAAGGUUUUAGGUUUGCGUGCAGCAUGUUGGCUUGUUUCCUGGCUCCUAGCAGCGCUCCCCAGUGAUAUGGUAGCAAAUACAUGACAAAUGAGUAAUAAACCUUUACAUAAGGUGUUCUGGUCCCAUCUCCAUCAGCAGGGCUCACACUGAAGUACAAAAUGGAACAAGAGGAGAGAAAGGUAUUGAGUCAGCUUUACCAUCGCGACGAUGGCAACGCCGCCGAUCAUCAUGCAUGUGGGCCAGAAGAGCGAGUGGAACAGCACGUUGGAGCUGUAC